AAAGUAGUGGAAUUAUGGUUACUUUGUAACGCGUUGCUCCCAACACUGAUAAUGAGUACCACUGAAUGUAAACAUCACUUUUGUUGACAGGAAAACUCCACAGGGCAGCUUUAAAUAUGGAUAACGAUCAUAGCAUAGUAAACAGUAUCAUCAAUAUUGAGGUCAAGUUAUCACUUAAAAACAACCUUGGUGUAUUUAAGUGCCUACCUGGAGGCAGGAGCUUGUCUGUCAUAGUUAGCUCCUCAUCCCAGACUUUCUCUGUUGGACCAGGACCAAAGCUGAGGCCUCGCUGCACCACAAGGAGGUUCUCCUGAAGCCGGGGUCCAUGACUCUCCUGUAGAGCUUUCAACAGCACUUCCCUGCUCUCUGCCACCAGGUUUCUUCUUCUUCUUAGAAGUGGGAACUGCAGAAAGUCACAUAAACUUGCUGCCACCGCAGCAACAGCCUUCGAUGCCCAGCGAGCAUCUUGUCGUCCGGGCUGUAUGUCGAAGCUAUCUACAGAGCCUGAGCUGGAGAGCGGAGUUGGGCUCAUGCUGGGACCAUGAGCUAGUGUCUGGUGGAUUGGAGACUCUGGGUUAUUUGGGGUGUGCUCCACAGUAGAAACUGUGUGUCUAUUCGCCUUCCUGCUUAACGUCUUCACAUUUCUAUCUUUGACAGCAGUGAGAGUCAGCGGUGACUCUCGGCCCUUUGCAGGCAGAAGUUUUGUCUUCUUGCUCUGAAUUAUGGCUGCAUCAUGGGAGCUUUGUUUAGAGGAGACGCUUUUAAAACUUUCACAUGAAGGAUCAAACUGUUGCUGCGGCCUUUGUCCCGGAGUAAUAUCGGAUUGGGGACUGAAUUUCUCCUCUUUCUUACGGCAAUCAUCAGGGGCAGAUUUCCUUUGAAAUGGCAGAACCGCAUCAGCAUCAGUAGCCAAUAAAUCGUUAGCGAGGAACAGCAAAGGAACGUGAGAUGUUGAAGAUGGAUGUGGAGUAGAAUUUUGCUCUACUUGCUGUCCACUUUGCCUCUGCACACUUAGCAAGCGUUCUAUGUCAACGGACUUCACCUCAUGGUUGAACAGGCCGUGGUGUCCUAUCAGGCGACGGUCCGUGAUUAUGCUUGGCUCUUGUGCAGUAGGAAUGACGUUUGCAAAUGGAGCAUUUCUCUGUGAAGCACAAUGACAGCGGCUCUGAAAAUAGGCCAUGUCUUGAGCCCUUUGGCAGAGAUGAUGCCGAUGUGCUUUGGACUUUGAGGCUUCUUUCCGGUUAUCGCUCCUCUGACUCCUCUCCUUGCGGCUCCUCAGUCGUUUCAUUCUGUGCUGCCUAUCUGUCUUAUUAGAAUGGUUUAAACUUUUGCAGUCCGUAGUGAAUCCCUUAACCAGUUUUUUGUCCUUGUUGAAAACAUUCAACAACUUUUUUUGGUCUGAUACAGCCCUGCCACACAUGCUGCACCAG
ensembl:lncRNA